ACCAGCAAAGCUGUUUCAUUGCCAGGAAGGGUUUGAUUGUGAAAUCUACAUCCCUAAUGUGGAUGAACUAGUGUUGAGAGGUAACACAAUCAUUUUACCUGAUCAUGUUACAAAGAGGUUGCAAGAGCACGUUGACAAAAUGCAUGAAGCAAAGACCGCAGCAAGGGAGGCUAGCAAUUGCUUCGGCAAGCAGUGAAGGUUCACAAGAAAUCUGCAGUGGCAGCCGGUCUUCUCUCUCUAGUCUUUCCUUUUGCAAGUGAGGAAUUUUGAUUUUGUUGCAUCCUUUUAUCUUCAUGGCUUCCUUCAAAACAGUUUGGAGAGUGACAAAGAUCCUAUUUGCUUUUAGUGGAGAAUAUUCCAGGAAUGCCUACAAAGCAUGUGUUCAAUGUAACAAUGAGUAAUCCAUUUAGUUGUUGACGAUGAAAUGUAACAAGAGAACAUGUGAUGAAUGUACCUGCUGCACGAUUGGAAUUAAA